rnacentral:ncRNA from 1 species
CUCUUUCGGGUCUUAUAAUUGGAAUGAGUACAAUUUAAAUCCCUUAACGAGGAACAAUUGGAGGGCAAGUCUGGUGCCAGCAGCCGCGGUAAUUCCAGCUCCAAUAGCGUAUAUUAAAGUUGUUGCAGUUAAAAAGCUCGUAGUUGAACUUCAGACCUGGCCGGGUGGUCCGCUUAACGGCGUGUUUUACUGUCCGGCCGGGCCUUACCUCUUGGUGAACCGGCCCGUGUCCUUCAUUGGGCGCGGGUCGGGGAACCAGGACUUUUACCUUGAGAAAAUUAGAGUGUUCAAAGCAGGCCUAUGCCCGAAUACAUUAGCAUGGAAUAAUAGAAUAGGACGCGCGGUUCUAUUUUGUUGGUUUCUAGAGUCGCCGUAAUGAUUAAUAGGGACAGUUGGGGGCAUUGGUAUUCAGUCGCUAGAGGUGAAAUUCUUGGAUUGACUGAAGACCGACUAUUGCGAAAGCAUUUGCCAAGGAUGUUUUCAUUAAUCAAGAACGAAGGUUAGGGGAUCGAAAACGAUCAGAUACCCCCCGGGGGGAUUCGAAUGGGAGGAAUAGUGAAUCCCCCGGCCCGCCAGCGUUGUUAGUCGACGGGGGCUUCCGACUGUGUUGACAGUCGGCGCCUACUAAGUAGGUGUAAAGACUGAGUGGUGGAACAACA